rnacentral:rRNA from 1 species
AUACGUAGGUGGCAAGCGUUGUCCGGAAUUAUUGGGCGUAAAGCGCAUGUAGGCGGUUUGGUAAGUCGGUCGUGAAAAUGCGGUGCUUAACGCCGUAUGGCGAUUGAAACUGCUGAACUUGAGUGCAGGAGAGGAAAGGGGAACUCCCAGUGUAGCGGUGAAAUGCGUAGAUAUUGGGAAGAACACCGGUGGCGAAGGCGCCUUUCUGGACUGUGCCUGACGCUCAGAUGCGAAAGCCAGGGUAGCGAACGGGAUUAGAUACCCCGGUAGUCCUGGCCGUAAACGAUGGGUACUAGGUGUGGGAGGUAUCGACUCCUUCCGUGCCGGAGUUAACGCAAUAAGUACCCCGCCUGGGGAGUACGGCCGCAAGGCUUAAACUCAAAUGAAUUGACGGGG